rnacentral:rRNA from 1 species
GUGCACGCUGGCGGUAGGCCUAACACAUGCCAGUCGCACGGCAGCACAGUAAGAGCUUGCUCUUACGGGUGGCGAGUGGCGGACGGGUGAGGAAUACAUCGGAAUCUACUUUUUCGUGGGGGAUAACGUAGGGAAACUUACGCUAAUACCGCAUACGACCUACGGGUGAAAGCAGGGGAUCUUCGGACCUUGCGCGAUUGAAUGAGCCGAUGUCGGAUUAGCUAGUUGGCGGGGUAAAGGCCCACCAAGGCGACGAUCCGUAGCUGGUCUGAGAGGAUGAUCAGCCACACUGGAACUGAGACACGGUCCAGACUCCUACGGGAGGCAGCAGUGGGGAAUAUUGGACAAUGGGCGCAAGCCUGAUCCAGCCAUACCGCGUGGGUGAAGAAGGCCUUCGGGUUGUAAAGCCCUUUUGUUGGGAAAGAAAAGCAGCAGGUUAAUACCCCGCUGUUCUGACGGUACCCAAAGAAUAAGCACCGGCUAACUUCGUG